GGUGCUGCCCACAAAGACUCUUGACAGGUUUUCUACAUUGUCAGAUUACACUUAGUCUAUUCAGACCAAUAAUUUCAUGGCCGGUGUUAGAAGAGCAUAAUAUCCUUGUAAUUUGAAUGAAGAAGCUUUCAGCUGGUGGCAGCCAACAGUCCACUGUAAUUUCACCUGCUAAAGGUCUUGCCUGUACUGCAGCGUGGCUCCCUUGAGGAGGUUCUCCAUAGCAACCGGCCUUUGUAACUCGCAGACAUGUAACAGUUCACAAUGAGAGCAAAUGAGGAAUAUUCAAACAGCAAAACAAGGCCGGCGACAGCUCGCCGUUAUCUGAUGUUCACUCUCCGAGUAAAACUCCCGUUAGUGUGACUGAAUCAGAGCGCUGUGAACUGCUAUAACACUCAUGGAUCCGAGACCAGUGUUUUAUUUAGCACAAGAUCAGUGAUGGACGGACAGACUCCAGCAAGACAGAUGGGCAGAUGUGGCUUCACAGCAGCAGAACAAACUGUUCUUACUCUCGCCAAGCUCAGCUGGAGGGAUGUCGCUGAUACCCAUGAUGCUUUAGGUUACUACUGAGUGACAGAUGCUGUAACACUUGCAGAGGUUCAAUGAAUUGGAAUAGCAUUAAGGACAUUCGAAGCUUCCUCCUCUGUUUUAAUUAACAGCAACCUCUGAUAAGUAUUUCAAAACCCCUGGCAAUGACAGUAAGCUCACAAGGAGAUGCAAUAAACUUGUGCACCAUAAUGUUACACUGGCUAUAGGGUAAACUUGCACACAUGAAAACAAAAUGUGUUUACUGACUGACUGUCUGAUCUCAGAUCUCAAAUGUAGGAUCCGUAGGCUCUGCUUAUGCUGUUUUACUCUGCCACAUCUGAACUCAAGCACGUCGAUGGGUCAAAAGGUGCAGCAGAACCAAGCACACAAACUGUCAGCCGUGAGAAACAUGCCGAACGCUUCCUCACCUCCUCAACACUCUCGGAGAGUUUCAACAUCUGUAUUCUGUGUUAAUUAACUGAUUAAUCCGAAUUGAGAAAGGAGAUCUCGUCUUAACGCUUACCAUGGUGCCAACUGUCAGCGCCGCUAGUCAAAUGGGCGCUGGAGAUGUUUGGACUCUCUGUCACUGUUGAAGCUUGAGUGGAUUUUAAUUAGCACAAGGAUGAUUGUACUGAUUAUGACAUGGGUGAGAAAAAUCGCUUUUCGCUUUUAUUGUCAUAGAAAUUGUAGUGAGAUAAAACAAUAAUUGGCAGAUCCCCUAAAAUGUUAAUGUAGGACAAUGUGAAGAUCAAAAAUCAUAGUCAAAUCUCCUGCUGUUGUAAAAUGUUAAUGGGUAGUUGAU